GAUGAACGCUGGCGGCGUGCCUAAUACAUGCAAGUCGAGCGAACAGACGAGGAGCUUGCUCCUCUGACGUUAGCGGCGGACGGGUGAGUAACACGUGGAUAACCUACCUAUAAGACUGGGACAACUUCGGGAAACCGGAGCUAAUACCGGAUAAUAUAUUGAACCGCAUGGUUCAAUAGUGAAAGACGGUUUUGCUGUCACUUAUAGAUGGAUCCGCGCCGCAUUAGCUAGUUGGUAAGGUAACGGCUUACCAAGGCAACGAUGCGUAGCCGACCUGAGAGGGUGAUCGGCCACACUGUAACUGAGACACGGUCCAGACUCCUACGGGAGGCAGCAGUAGGGAAUCUUCCGCAAUGGGCGAAAGCCUGACGGAGCAACGCCGCGUGAGUGAUGAAGGUCUUCGGAUCGUAAAACUCUGUUAUUAGGGAAGAACAAAUGUGUAAGUAACUAUGCACGUCUUGACGGUACCUAAUCAGAAAGCCACGGCUAACUACGUG
rnacentral:rRNA from 1 species